rnacentral:tRNA from 1 species
CAAAUUAAAGCUUUAAAGCAUUUUAUUUACAUUAAAAAGUUAAUUGUAAAAUCAAUUUAAUUUGA